CUUUGGUCUUAGAUACUUCUCUUUGGUCUGUGUUUUCUCCUUUCUGAAUUUUAAUCUUCUGUGAUGUGAGGAAAUUUACGUGAACCUUUCACAUAUCUAUUUUUUUCCUUGUGCACAGUUGAUAAUUUCCUCCCUUAGAUUCCCUAUUUGCUCAAAAGGCAAAUCCUCUAAGAAGUCAUCUGCAGCCCAUAGCAUUCGUCUCAGAGCAGAAAGAAUUAGAACAUCCUUUACAGGGUCC
rnacentral:lncRNA from 1 species